UACGUAGGGUGCAAGCGUUAAUCGGAAUUACUGGGCGUAAAGCGUGCGCAGGCGGUUUUGUAAGUCUGACGUGAAAGCCCCGGGCUCAACCUGGGAAUUGCGUUGGAGACUCCAAGGCUUGAAUCUGGCAGAGGGGGGUAGAAUUCCACGUGUAGCAGUGAAAUGCGUAGAGAUGUGGAGGAACACCGAUGGCGAAGGCAGCCCCCUGGGUCAAGAUUGACGCUCAUGCACGAAAGCGUGGGGAGCAAACAGG
rnacentral:rRNA from 1 species